rnacentral:rRNA from 1 species
CCUACGGGGUGCAGCAGUGGGGAAUAUUGGACAAUGGGCGAAAGCCUGAUCCAGCCAUGCCGCGUGUGUGAAGAAGGCCUUCGGGUUGUAAAGCACUUUCAGUGGGGAAGAAAGCCUUGGGGCUAAUACCCUCGAGGAAGGACAUCACCCACAGAAGAAGCACCGGCUAACUCCGUGCCAGCAGCCGCGGUAAUACGGAGGGUGCGAGCGUUAAUCGGAAUUACUGGGCGUAAAGCGCGCGUAGGCGGUCUGAUAAGCCGGUUGUGAAAGCCCCGGGCUCAACCUGGGAACGGCAUCCGGAACGGUCAGGCUAGAGUGCAGGAGAGGAAGGUAGAAUUCCCGGUGUAGCGGUGAAAUGCGUAGAGAUCGGGAGGAAUACCAGUGGCGAAGGCGGCCUUCUGGACUGACACUGACGCUGAGGUGCGAAAGCGUGGGUAGCAAACAGGAUUAGAUACCCUUGUAGUC